UGAGGCUGUAUUUUUCAACAAAUUCCCUUAGAAGACAGAAACCAACAAUGGGCUCUAUCUAACACUUGGCAGAAAGUGGUGGAAAGCGCAACAUUGUCAUUUUCCCGUCCAGAGCCCACAUUGUUUGAAUAGCAAAUGCACUUGCAUCCAUCUGAGCACCCACGGGUGUGCUGGUCUUCAAAUGAGCUGUGGUCAGUUGCAUUGAUAUCUUAAGGCAGUGGAAAGCAGCUUUUCAACAAAAACCUGGUCUGAGGCUCAGUGAUUUCAGAAGUGGACACUUUUGGGGACUAUUUCCAGCGGCGGAUUGAUCCACAUCUGGUGCUCUAAGCUCCUGUUGCAGUGUGGACUGUCAGAGCUCAACUUGUUUCAUGAUACACAUCUCAUGGGACUUGCAGCAGGGAAAUGCAACCUGAAGCCGAGGUUC